AUUUCUACCUCUGCCCAGUGAGCGCUUCCUGCCCAGGACCAGCUGGCUUGUUAGUGGAUUGGAAUGGACAAUAGAAUAUGGAGACCAAGCUCGAUCCCAGAUCUUUUAUGCAGUCGGUGUGACAAUGACCACGCGGAUUUGGUAAGAUGGCACCAACGGAUAUGGGAUCAGGCUAAUGGAAACCCACUGUACCCACAUUCAGCUGGUCGUCUACCUGCCAUUCCGAGAGGUGCAGCUGGAGUUGGUGGAGCCAGCUAAGUGCAAGUAUGUUCUCCAGACCCUGAGACCCCCACAGCAGGCCCGCUGUGUGCUGGACUAGAGAGAGAGAGAGGCAGGACUCUGGGGGUCCUCUGAUCUACCCCAGAGAGGAUGGCCACUGGGCCAUGGUGGGGGUCACCUCCUGGGGGAAGGCUGUGGCCGGAACCGGAUCAACAACACGGCCGAGUCCCCAGCCAAGAUAGGAUCCCCGGGGGUCUUUACAGAUGUCAAGAUGCUCCUGCCCUGGAUCGAGAGGAAACUCGGAAGGUCAUCUAACACGUUUUAGUCAGUGUGAGCCAUGCAGGUCUGGAUUUGUUUAAUUAAUUGGUUUAACAGAUGCUCUAACAAAUUGUUUGGUUUUGUUCAUCAGCAGACGCUUCUUCUCAUCAUUUCCACACUGCAUUUACUUGCAUUUUGAAAACUUUUGAAACUGCGCCCACAUCCUCUUUGUCAUCUGAUUAGCUACUACAUUUCUAUUUACACAAUAGCUCACUUAUGCAAUUUGUACAAUGAACCUUUACUGUAUGAUGUGACUGUCGUCUUUGAACAGUGCAUUUGAUGCUGAUUGUGUGUGUACUGUGCUGCAGGACUUUGCAGUGAGGGAUAGGCCUGUGAGGGUCUCAAACCCAAACCUUACAGUCUGUCUCGACAACAACGAGUGGGUGUCAGUGAACAGGCCCGUUGCAUAGGGGGGAGAGCUGUGCUGAAUUGAAUGCUCUCAUUGAAUGCACUUGAAUUAAAUACGCUUUUAGGCCAAUUUACUCACCACUUGACAGCUGUCAUGGGCAGCAGGUAUCCAAGCUGUUAGACAGGCGAGCAGGCAGCCAGCGGGUUGCUGUUAUCAAAUCCUAGAUUCCAUUGCCUCUGUUGUGCCCUUGAGCAAGGCACUUAAUGCCUCACAACAACAGCCCCCUGGGCACCCAGUGUGGAAGCCCACCCCCACACCUCUC